rnacentral:rRNA from 1 species
UGGGGAAUAUUGCACAAUGGGGGAAACCCUGAUGCAGCGACGCCGCGUGAGCGAAGAAGUAUUUCGGUAUGUAAAGCUCUAUCAGCAGGGAAGAAAAUGACGGUACCUGACUAAGAAGCCCCGGCUAACUACGUGCCAGCAGCCGCGGUAAUACGUAGGGGGCAAGCGUUAUCCGGAUUUACUGGGUGUAAAGGGAGCGUAGGCGGCAAGGCAAGCCAGAAGUGAAAGCCCGGGGCUCAACUCCGGGACUGCUUUUGGAACUGUCUGGCUAGAUUGCAGGAGAGGUAAGUGGAAUUCCUAGUGUAGCGGUGAAAUGCGUAGAUAUUAGGAGGAACACCAGUGGCGAAGGCGGCUUACUGGACUGUAAAUGACGCUGAGGCUCGAAAGCGUGGGGAGCAAACAGGAUUAGAUACCCUGGUAGU